CCAGGCCAAAGGAGCCCCCAUAGCCCCGGGAGCCCCCAUAGCCCCCAAGGGAGCCCCCAUAGCCUGAGAAACCCCCAUAGCCCUGGGAGCCCCCAUAGCCCCCAUAACUUCCUAACCCAAAGGAACCCCUAUAACCACGGGAGCCCCCGUAUCCAAGGAAGCUCCCAUAGCUUUGGGAACCUCCAUAAGGUCCCCACCCAAAGAAGCCCAAAUUGCCCCGGGAGCCCCCAUAACCUCCAGACCCAAAGGAGCCCCCAUAGCCGAGGGAGCUCCCAUAACCUCCAGAACCAAAGGAGCCCCCAUAGCCAAGGGAGCCCCCAUAACCUCCAGAACCAAAGGAGCCCUCAUAGCCCUGGGAGCUGCGGGAACUGAAGGAACGUCCCGGCAAGGCUGGGCCCGACGAUCCCACAACGCUCUCCUGAGGGCAGGUGCUGAGCACGGGGCCUGGGAUGGUCACCACCACUGGUGGGGGCAGGAUCAGGGCUCUGGAGUCGGGGCACUGCUGCACACACGGCUCGUUGGAGCUCUCGGCGAUGGGCUGGGGGCAGCUGAUGCCGCAGGACUCGUUGGAGUAGGACAUCCACUUCUCCUGAGUUAUUCGCCUUGGUGAACAGGCCUCCCAGCACAGAAGGAUGUCCUACUCCAACGAGUCCUGCGGCAUCA
rnacentral:lncRNA from 1 species